AUUCUUUACUGUAUCUUGGACACAGGGAAAUAGUAACACUGGUGGACAGUAAAACCUGCUCUCUUUCUUCCUCUUAAGGUUUCUACUCCAGACUCAUAUUUUCUGUUUCCACUUCCUGUAAUUUCUAGGGUUGUCGUCUCAUCUGGCCCUUGUAAAGAAACUGUAAGCUCCCAGUAUAGGAAACUUCUUGCUGUGUCUUUGAUUGGAACCGGAAUGAGAAAACUCUGUUCACCUUCAACUUUCUAUGCACUCUAUUGGAAUGACACUAAAUGUGUUAUUACUGGCCAGCAUCCAGCAAAGAAGGCACCCUCAACUUCAGAAGACCUUGAACCGUAGUGAAAAAUACAGCUGCAGGCCAACUAGUGUU